rnacentral:rRNA from 1 species
UACGGGGGGGGCAAGCGUUGUUCGGAAUUACUGGGCGUAAAGGGCUCGUAGGUGGCCAACUAAGUCAGACGUGAAAUCCCUCGGCUUAACCGGGGAACUGCGUCUGAUACUGGGUGGCUUGAGUUCGGGAGAGGGAUGCGGAAUUCCAGGUGUAGCGGUGAAAUGCGUAGAUAUCUGGAGGAACACCGGUGGCGAAGGCGGCAUCCUGGACCGGUAUUGACGCUGAGGCGCGAAAGCUAGGGGAGCAAACGGG